rnacentral:rRNA from 1 species
GAUGAACGCUGGCGGCGUGCCUAAUACAUGCAAGUCGAGCGAACGGACGAGAAGCUUGCUUCUCGGAUGUUAGCGGCGGACGGGUGAGUAACACGUGGAUAACCUACCUAUAAGACUGGUAUAACUUCGGGAAACCGGAGCUAAUACCGUAUAAUAUUUUGAACCGCAGGGUUCAAUAGUGAAAGACGGUCUUUUUGUCACUUAUCGAUGGUUCCCCGCUGCAUUGGCUAGUUGGUGAGGUAACGGCUUACCAAGGCAACGAUGCCUAUCCGAACGGAGUGGGUGAUAGGCGACCUGGGAAGGGGGACGGGGUCCUGACGCCUACGAUAGGGCGCAGUAGGGAACGUUACGCAGUGGUCGAAAGCAUGGCGGAACAGCGCCGAGUGAGUGAUGAAGGUCUUGCGAUCGUAAAGCUCUGUUAUUAGGGAAGAACAUAUGUGUAAGUAACUGUGCAGAGAUUGACGGUACCUAAUCAGAAAGCCACGGCUAACUACGUG